UUAAAACCUAUUUUAUAGGGUAAGGUAGGUGUACACAGUGAAAUUAUUAUAUAAAUAAUGAUUUACUUUUGUUUACACAAGCUUUUAUCCCUGUUUUUUCUAGCAUUUGCAAAGUUUGGUGUCCCAGCUGUAACAGAAGAAUCUGUCUCCAUGGUGGCCUCUUCUGAGCAAUCCCAACCAUCAUCCCUUGAUACCUUGGACUCUGAGGAUACAGUCAUUAUUUCAGAUAGCCCCUCCAGAAAACGCCAGAGGCUGGAUACAGAAGCCAAGCAAUUGGUGGAAUCAGCUCUUACCAACAAAACCGGUGGG